rnacentral:lncRNA from 1 species
UUAAUCAUUAGAUAACUAAUUCCUGUUACAAAGUGUGAGACUUGCAGAAUUACCGAAAUAGAUGAAUCUUGCUUGUCCUUAGUCAGCUUUAGUAAUACAUAAGGAUAUGCUCCUCCUAAAUGAAUCUUCUGCGGCUUUCAGAUACUUUACUGUUGUUCUCUUCCAGUUCCUGCUCCAAUUGCGUGAGUGUCGAUUGGAAGGCCCCAAUUUAGAUAAACUACUGUAAAUAAACAUGACAUGUUCAUUUCUCACCUGGAAUUGAAUGAACAGGAGAAGCUUUAGAAAUCUGGCAGGAAAAUCAGAAGUUGACAAUCACAGCUACCAAAUCCUCUUUCUCUCUGUCACAAAAAAAAAAGGUCUCAAUCCAAAAUUUGAUACCCAUAUCUCUAAUUGCCAAAAAUCGGAGACACAUAACCAAAUUUCAUAUUCACCAAGAAAUAGAAAACCAAAUGGUAACCUGUAACCAAAAUUGAAAUCAAACAAAGAAUUACCCAGACUGCUAUGCCAAUUUACUGGACAUGAACAACAGAAAAAACAAUGCACUUUAAUAAGAGGAUGGUGAAAAACAGGAAAUAAGAUCAAAGCAAUUGAGCUAGUACUUACAUUCACCAUAUUUAGUUUCCAGCUAGGUCCAGUUAUCUCUCCAAUUUUGUAUUCAGGUGGCACUCAAUAGCAAAAAGAAGAAAGAAAAAGAAAUUAAUAUGUAAUCUUGUACAUACAUGAUUGAUAUAUAAUCUUCUAAAACGAUUAUAGAAAAAUUAGGAAGUUCUACACACCUUUGUGCAUUCAUAUCUACCUCAGUUCUGAUUACUUCCAAAGAGUGUCAUUAGCACCCAUAUGAGACUUAAGUACUGUAUCAGUAUCUCAUUGCCUCUUCCCAUGUGUUGCCUGAACCAGAAGAUGCAUUCACUUGGCUAGUCCCCCCGCCACCCCCAGCUGUGGACAACUAUAUAUUUGCAUACACAUUUGAUGAAUUUAGAAACAUGAGAUACGCAUUAAUUGACAAUAAGUCUAAAGUUAUUUAGUUAGAACCAAUUUAAAACCUUAACAUGAUUGUCCAAAAAAAAAUUAACAAAACAGAGCCGUUCUGCUAUAGCUAAUCAAGAAGGGAUGCGUUUAAAACACAUUAAUCAUUAUAAAUUGAUAUAAUAAUUCCAGUAGACACAAUACUGAUUGUCAUCAAUUUUUAUUAAUUAAAAAAAAAAAAAAAACCAUCAGAGAGCCUAGCUUUUAGCAAUUCAAUGCACAAAACAAUAAAAAUUACUAUGAUAUGGAUAUUUUUCUGGUAAGCAUCAUGCAUACAGCCUCAUAGGUUUAAGACUUAAAAGUAAGAUAGUUCUGUUUUGAAUAGGAUAAUUAUUUCUAAUGAGACCAUGCGUCUGUUUUCACACCUGAUAGGAUUUUUAGGUUCUUUCCACUAUAAGUUUCAAUUCAGUUUUGAUUCCAACUGUACAAUCAAUACAAUAAAACCCAAACAACUGCUAAAUACCAUUAAAAAAUACAUCCCUUCACAAAGCGAAAAAGGGAAGAACCUAACCUGAUCAACAAAAUCACAGCAAACUUGACCACAAUACAUCCCUUCACAAAGCGAAAAAGGGAAGAAUCUAACCUGAUCAACAAAAUCACAGCAAACUUGACCACAACCUACAAAACCAGAAAAAUAUCCAUAGCAUCAAAUAGAGAGUGCAACCAACCAUUCAAAUACUUGAUGGAAACUAUUCAAAAACCCAAAAAAAAAAACAACCAAAAACAAAUACUUGAAAAGAAGAAACCAAUGUAACCAACUAAUAAGCAAUGCUUUGAAUUUUAGGAUUGUAGAUGGUAAGAUUUUUUAUAAGAGUUAUCAUUAUUGUAAUUUUACUUAUAAUUACUGUAGUGUAGCAGAUAAUACAACAAUUAAAUUAAAAGUUACCUUGGAUGACUGAUUACUGUUGUCAAGGCUUUCAGAAGAUGUUUUUUUCAAUCUCUAGAAUUUCAGCAAGCUGGAAAGCUGGAGGAUUAACCCCUCCAUCAAGUCCACCUGAAAUUGUCAUAAACUACACAAACAUGAUAAAGUUAAUACAGUAGGUAUUUAAAUCACCAUUGGAGCAAGAGAGAAGAAAUUUGUACUCACAUUAUCAUAACAGAUCUGACAAAGUCCAUGUGCAUAAGGUUUUCCACUAUCCUUAUAUAUGUUCACAAAGGAUCCUCUGUUCAGAAAGGCUACCAUCUGCGUUAUCCAUUUUAUCAGCCAUAAUUGGUUGUUUGAUUAUUUCAUCCAGUUCCUUUGCCUUCACGAGGAACUCUUCAAUCUAAACAAAGCAGAUUCCCAAUUGAAGAAAAGGACUUCAGUACCCGUAAUUUCACAAAACAAAGGUAUUGAAAGGAAAAUGGUAGAUAAGUAAUAAUUGUUCGGUCUACAAGAUAAUUAAGCAAUAUGAAAUCACAUUCAUGAUCCUAAACUUCUUGUUAAAGAGUAAGCCGACAUGACCAGCUUGAUACACUUUCACCAAAAGUGAUCUCCAUGCUAUUUUUAAUUAUUUUCCAAGAAGAAAACACCUUUUACUAAUACAAAUAGUAGACAUGAAGUCCACUCCUGUCUUAUAACUGCAGUAAAAACAAUAAAUAACAACAAUCUUGAGACCUAACCAAUUAUUAGACCACUCAAUGUUUAGUGUUUGCACACUCAGGCAUAAUUUCUCUAGACCUGAUAUCGGCCCAACUCAAGAACGUGAACCAGGUGAGAAACCUAACCUCAUUCCCUCAAAUGAAAACAAAAAAUAAACUUCAGUGGUACCUGCAAAUGGCAGGUGGGACACCUGAGCCUGGUCACCCACCUUUUUUUAUCCCCUAAUCAAAUUGAGUUCACUAUUUGGGCCAGUGAUCUACUAGUCUACAUUCUACAGACUAAGGUAAAAAGAAACAGGGAGAGGUCAACAUACAGAAAAAGUUGUUGGGCUCAAACACAAUUCGAUACAACUCCUCCACCUAAUCUAUUUGCAGUUUCUAAUAGCAGCAUGCCUUAUAUAGGGAAUCUCCACAACCACUUUGCCUGCAAAACCUUAUUCCUUUCCUCCCGCAUUUGGAAAACAUAUCCCACAAUGAUUCUCCACCUUCCGAGAAACCCCUUUCUGAUUUUUUAAAUAAAGAGAAGUGAAAAAGGUAAGAUGAAGACAAACUUUCUACCAACUUUCCGACCCUGUUUCAACCAUUGCAUUGCCUAUCAAAGUGUGCAUCUACGUGUACUCACAUAUUGUACUUUAUUUGCAAAAUUGGAGAACUGUGAUUGUCAAUAUAGCGACUAAUAUAAUAAGCAUACCGUCAAACUCCCAGAUUCUGUAUUCUCAAAUUCAACCAACCGCUUAGUCAAUGUAGCAUCACAAACAUGUACAAUCUUGAUCUGGAAUAAUAAUAUACAUCAAAUAAAAUGGAAAAAGGAAUACUUGAAAUUUUGAAGUACUUUUCAAGCAAGGAGUUGUCAUAUAAAGCAAAUGCAGGAGCUUCAAAAGAAACAAAUUGUUACACUGUAGAAGAAUUUGAUAGCAUUCACACUUUUUCAUUAAUCAAAAGUCAAAAUCAUAUUCAUGUUCACAACUCUUAACCACACCAAAAAAAAAAAAGUUCAAUAGAUGGUAUAGUGAUGACAACGAAGAAGCCUCUAAUUCAAAACGUAAAAAAGCAUCUUAACCAUUCUAAUACGUAUGACAACGGCAUAUAAUGAAAAUUUCUCCUUUGACAUAAAAACCAACUAAAUUAACAUAUCAUCAUCAAUGCAGAGAGUAGCAACUGAACAUAACUUACAAUAUCAGACUUGGCGCACUUGAGACCAUGUGAAAGUGCUGAUAUAUAUAAUGCAGCCCCACAUAUUCCACUCGGUUUUCUGCCUGUCUGGAAAAACUUAAAGAUUUGUCUUAUGAUACAGUAAACCUCCUAAGGUGACCAUCAAAGCACCUCACACCAAAGAUGUAUCAAGAUAAAACACUGAAAGUGAGUUCACACCUGCAUCCAAUCCUAUUUCAUGCUUGUGAUAAUCCUGUGUGCAGUUUGCAUAACCCCUUUAUUCCUUCCUCCAGGUAAACCUACAAAGCAUAUUUGCAACUGUAUAUAAUUAAUUGAAAUGAAGUCAAUUUCCCCUUCAAACAAUUUCAUUCCCAUGCAAUCAGAAGGAGACCUCAUCUUUUGUCUUGAUACUUCGGCGCAGAGAGAGUACCAAAACUAUUUAGAAAUUAUAAAAACUAAAUAGAGUAUCCUCCAAUUUUACGACUUAAUUACAAUCAUGCGACACAGCUUAAGAGGUAACUUGUGUUGGAAAUUAACUAAAGCAAAUACUUAUGAAGCUUUUAAUUUCAUACAUGUUAGGAUAAGAAAGCAAUGUGGUGUUACAGAAGCAAGCACUUACUCUCAGUGAAUCUAUGAAUAAACCAAGAAGGAUCAACAAGUUUUUGAACAAUCGGGUGCUCAUCAAGCCUCAAAGCCUUGCAAAGUUGCAAAAACACAGCUCCAAGCACAUAGUUGCAAAUCAAAUCAUAUGAGAUUAUAAAAACCCAAACUCAGUUCUUGAGUGUAAAAUUACAAUUAAAUCAGUCAAAAUGUCAUUCAGAGGCACAGUCCAAUGAGAACGAAUAAAAGAAAAACAAAUCAGACAAAGUUUUGGUGAUUCUACUUGACGAAUAUUAGAUAGUAAGAAGCAUGAGAACACGGACAAAGGGCAAGGAAAACAAUGAAGAAAGACUUUCUCCCACAAUUAUCUUCAAGUAGUUCGAAAAAUCAAUAAGAAGGUACGGCUUCCUCUUUUCCCUGCAAGACAUGAUUAGAGUUCAUAAUCAAUUCACAUUUUUGUGCUAUUUGGAUAUGUUUCUUCAAAAUAUGUUAAAUAUAGAUAACAAAAAUUAAUUAAAAGGAGACAUAACUAAUUGUAAAAAAAUAAAUAGCAGUGGUAUGGUUCAAUUUUUUCCUUUUACUUUUGCAAAGAAAUAAAAUUCUGUAGAAUGAUAUGAUCGGUGGAUAAGGAACCCACAGAAGAUAAAUACAAAAUCACUAAGACCAACAAACAGCAAAAUACUAGAAGCAACUCUUCACAAAAGCUACCAAAUUUAGCACUAUACAAGAAAUUGGUAAGCCAAAAGAAACACAGAUACAUACAUACCCUUCCACCUUCAUAUGACCCAAAAUUGCAUUACUGAAAUUUAACACUAAUCAAACCGGAAAAAAAAAAAAAAAACUUAACAGAAUAACUACACUUAAUCAUUAGAUAACUAAUUCGUGUUUCAAAGUGUGAGACUUGCAGAAUUACCGAAAUAGAUGAAUCUUGCUUGUCCUCAGUCAGCUUUAGAAAUACAUAAGGAUAUGCUCCUUCUAAAUGAAUCUUCUGCGGCUUUCAGAUACUUUACUGAUGUUCUCUUCCAGUUCCUGCUCCAAUUGCAUGAGUGUUGAUUGGAAGGCCCAAAUUUAGAUAAACUACUGUAAAUAUACAUGACUUGUUCAUUUCUCAUCUGGAAUUGAAUGAACAGGAGAAGCUUUAGAAAUCUGGCUGGAAAAUCAGAAGUUGACAAUCACAGCUACCAAAUCCUCUUUCUCUCUGUCACAAAAACAAAACGGUCUCAAUCCAAAAUUUGAUACCCAUAUCUCUAAUUGUCAAAAAAUCGGAGACACAUAACCAAAUUUUAAAUUCACCAUGACAUAGAAAACCAAAUGAUAACCCAUAACCAAAAUUGAAAUCAAACAAAGAAUUACCCAGACUACUAUGUCAAUUGACCGAACAUGAACAGAAAAAGAAAUUCACUUUAAUAAGAGGAUGGUGAAAAAAAAGAAAUUAAAUCGAACGAAUUGAGCUAGUACUUACGUUCACCAUAUUUAGUUUCCAGCCAGGUCCAGUUAUCUCUCCACUUUUGUACUCAGGUUGCACUCAAUAGCAAAAAGAUGAAAGAAAAAGAAAUUAAUAUAUAAUCUUGUACAUACAUGAUUGAUAUAUGAUCUUCUAAAACGAUUAUAGAAAAAUUAGGAAGUUCUACACACCUUUGUGCAUUCAUAUCUAACUCAGUUAUGAUUGCUUCCAAAGAGUGUCAUUAGCAUCCAUAUGAGACUUGAGUACUCUGUCAGUAUCCCAUUGCCUCCUCCCACGUGUUGCCUGAACCAAAAGAUGCAUUCACUUGGCUAGUCCCCCCGCCACCUCCAGCUGUGGACAACUAUAUAUCUGCAUACACAUUUGAUGAAAUCAGAAACAUGAGAUACGCACAAACACAUAAGCAUGAAGAGAUCAUGAACAAUCAAAUCAAAAGGGGAAGGAAAAGGCAUUAGAUGAAUUUUGUAGUGUGGCUUGAUCAAUGGGGACAAAAGGGGAAAACCCUUCAAUUUCAAGUCUCUUUGCACUCUGGACAAGGGACCUAGAGGCAUUGUACCAUGUCCUUGACCUGAAAUUAACCAAAGAUAAAAGUACCACUGGAUCAAUUCAAAGAACAAUGAUCAACAAACAGCACCCCAACAUGAAUACAUAUGUAACACUUAUUUUUGUGAAAUAUAUCAUCUUCCCACCAUUUGACAAAGAAACCAGGAAAGGAAAAGGCACUGAAACUAUAAUACAAAUAGUCAGUUAGAAUAAACACACAGCUACAUACUGAUCGAUAACAUCAUUUUUUUUUCCUAUCCUCAGCAAGUACAAGUCCAUUGCAAUAAUGCAGUAGAUAAUACCAUAAGUGUAGAACCUGCAUCAUAAUCAGAGGGAAGCAAUGAGGCCAAGCUUAGACAUUAGAAACUUGUGCCCAAGUUAGGACAAAAGCUGGCACAAAGGAAUCUAAUCCAACAAUAGGCAGCCGACAGUCAUUAUAUUAAUUAAAAAAGAAAAAGAAACAACUUACAAACAGCAAAAGGGUUUUUCUAUUAGUUUUGAUAAACUCCCUUUUAUGUUUCCAACUGUACUUCAUAGUUUUCAGAGUCUUCAUCUAACACUAGAAUCCAUGUGGAAAGAAGAAUCAUUACCACACAUGUACAUACAUAAUUGAUAUAUAUAUGCAAAGACCAUCGCAAGCACAAAGUCUAAAAUUUGAUAAAUUGUAUUAGGGUAAGGCACCACAAAUCACAUACACAACACAAUACGAAGCACAAAUUUUAAGACUUAGUUCUCUACAGGACGGCAUUUGCCUCUGCAAACUUAUCCCGAACUGGAAGUUGUUAGGAGCUUUUUGCAACCUAGAAGCACAAACAAAAAAAAAGAAAAAGAAAAACUUCCAGACUAACUACACUGUAUCAUUAGAUAACUAAUUCGUGUUUCAAAGUGUGAGACUUGCAGAAUUACCGAAAUAGAUGAAUCUUGCUUGUCCUCAGUCAGCUUUAGAAAUACAUAAGGAUAUGUUCCUCCUAAAUGAAUCUUCUGCGGCUUUCAGAUACUUUGCUAUAGUUCUCUUCCAGUUUCUGCUCCAAUUGCGUGAGUGUUGAUUGGAAAGCCCAAAUUUAGAUAAACUACUGUAAAUAAACAUGACUUGUUCAUUUCUCACCUGGAAUUGAAUGAAUAGGAGAAGCUUUAGAAACGUGGCUGCAAAAUCAGAAGUUGACAAUCACAGCUACCAAAUCCUCUUUCUCUCUCUCACACAAAAAAACGGUCUUAAUCCAAAAUUUGAUACCCAUAUCUCUAAUUGUCAAAAAAUCGGAGACACAUAACCAAAUUUCAAAUUCACCAUGAAAUAGAAAACCAAAUGAUAACCCAUAACCAAAAUUGAAAUCAAACAAAGAAUUACCCACACUGCUAUGCCAAUUGACCGGACAUGAACAUCAGAAAAAGCAUUUCACUUUAAUAAGAGGAUGUGAAAAACAGGAAAUAAGAUCAAAGCAAUUGAGCUAGUACUUACAUUCAACAUAUUUAGUUUCUAGCAAGGUCCAGUUAUCUCUCCAAUUUUGUAUUCAGGUGGCCCUCAAUAGCAAAAAGAAGAAAGAAAAAGAAAUUAAUAUAUAAUCUUGUACAUACAUGAUUGAUAUAUGAUCUUCUAAAAUGAUUAUACAGAAAUUAGGAAGUUCUACACAACUUAGUGCAUUCAUAUCUACCUCAGUUCUGAUUGCUUCCAAAGAGUGUCAUUAGCACCCAUAUGAGACUUGAGUACUCUGUUAGUAUCCCAUUGCCUCCUCCCAUGUGUUGCUUGAACCAAAAGAUGCAUUCACUUGGCUAGUCCCCCCACCACCCCCAGCUAUGGACAACUAUAUAUCUGCAUACACAUUUGAUGAAUUUAGAAACAUAAGCAUAAGCAUAAACACAUAAGCAUACACAUAAGCAUGAAGAGAUCAUGAACAAUCAAACCAAAAGGGGAAGGAGAAGGCAUUAGAUGAAUUUUGCAGAGUGGUUUGAUCAAUGGGGACAAAAGGGGAAAACCCUUCAAUUUCAAGUCUCUUUGCACUCUCGACCAGGAACCUAUAGGCAUUGUACCACGUCCUUGACCUGAAAUUAACCAAAGAUAAAAGUACCACUGGAUCAAUUCAAAGAACAAUGAUCAACAAACAGCACCCCGACAUGAAUAGAUAUAUAACACUUAUUUCUGAGAAAUAUAUCAUCUUCCCACCAUUUGACAAAGAAACCAGGAAAGGAAAAGGCACUGAAACUAUAAUACUAACAGUCACUUACGAUAAACCCUCACCUACAUACUGAUCAAUACAUCAUUUUUUUUCCAUCCUCAGCGAGUACAAGUCCAUUGCAAAUGAGAUUCUGAAAGGCAGGAUUGCCAAAUAAUGCAGUAGAUAACACCAUAGGUGUAGAACCUGCAUCAUAAUCAGAGGGAAGCAAUGACGCCUAACUUAGACAUUAGAAAAUUGUGCCCAAGUUAGGACAAAAGCUGACACAAAGGAAUCUAAUCCAACAAUAGGCAGCCGACAGUCAUUAUAUUAAUUAAAAAAAAAAAACAAACUUACAAACAGCGAAAGGGUUUUUCUAUUAGUUACCAAAAUAAACUCCCUAUUAUGUUUGCAGCUGUACUUCAUAGUUUUCGGAGUCUGCAACUAACACUAGAAUCCAUGUGGAAAGAAGUAUCAUUGCCACACAUGUACGUACAUAAUUCAUAUAUAUAUAUGCAAAGACCAUCGCAAGCACAAAGUCUACCAUUUGAUAAAUUGUAUUAGGGUAAGGCACCACAAAUCACAUACACAACACAAUACGAAGCACAAAUUUUAAGACUUAGUUCUCUACAGGAAGGCAUUUGCCUCUGCAAACUUAUCCCGAACUGGAAGUUGUUAGGAGCUUUUUGCAACCUAGAAGCACAAACAAAAAAAAGGGGAAAAAAAAACUUACAGAAUAACUACACUGUAUCAUUAGAUAACUAACUUGUGUUUCAAAGUGUGAGACUUGCAGAAUUACCGAAAUAGAUGAAUCUUGCUUGUCCUCAGUCAGCUUUAGAAAUACAUAAGGAUAUGCUCCUCCUAAAUGAAUCUUUUGCGGCUUUCACAUACUUUACUGUUGUUCUCUUCUAGUUCCUGCUCCAAUUGCGUGAGUGUUGAUUGGAAGGCCCAAAUUUAGAUAAACUGCUGUAAAUAAACAUGACUUUUUCAUUUCUCACCUGGAAUUGAAUGAACAGGAGAAGCUUUAGAAAUCUGGUUGGAGAAUCAGAAGUUGACAAUCACAGCUACAAAAUCCUCAUUCUCUCUGUCACAAAAAAAAAGAGGGUCUCAAUCCAAAAUUUGAUACCCAUAUCUCUAAUUGUCAAAAAAUCGGAGACACAUAACCAAAUUUCAAAUUCACCAUGAAAUAGAAAACCAAAUGAUAACCCAUAACCAAAAUUGAAAUCAAACAAAGAAUUACCCAGACUGCUAUGCCAAUUGACCGGAAAUGAACAACAGAAAAAGCAAUUCACUUUAAUAAGAGGAUGGUGAAACACAGGAAAUAAGAUCAAAGCAAUUGAGCUAGUACUUACAUUCACCAUAUUUAGUUUCCAGCCAGGUCCAGUUAUCUCUCCAAUUUUGUAUUCAGGUGGCACUUAAUAGCAAAAAGAAGAAAGAAAAAGAAAUUAAUAUAUAAUCUUGUACAUACAUGAUUGAUAUAUAAUCUUCUAAAACGAUUAUAGAAAAAUUAGGAAGUUCUACACACCUUUGUGCAUUCAUAUCUACCUCAGUUCUGAUUGCUUCCAAAGAGUGUCAUUAGCACCCAUAUGGGACUUGAGUACUUUGUCAGUAUCCCAUUGCCUCCUCCCAUGUGUUGCCUGAACCAAAAGAUGCAUUCGCUUGGCUAGUCUCCCCGCCACCCCCAGCUGUGGACAACUAUAGAUCUGCAUACACAUUUGAUGAAUUUAGAAGCAUGGGAUACGCAUUAAUUGACAAUAAGUCUAAAGUUAUUUAGUUUGAACCAAUUUAAAACCUUAACAUGAUUGUCCAAAAAAAAAAUAACAAAAAAGAGCUCUGUUCUGCUAUAACUAAUCAAGAAGGGAUCAUUAGUCAUUAUAAAUUGAUAAUAUAAUUCCCGUAGACACAAUACUGAUUGUGAUCAAUUUUUAUUUGAAAAAAAAAAAAAAAAAAAAAAACAAUCAUAGAGCCUAACUUUUAACAAUUCAUUUCACAAAACAAUAAAAAUUACUAUGAUAUGGAUAUUUUUCUGGUAAGCAUCAUGCAUACAGCCUCAUAGAUUUAAGACUUAAAAGUAAGAUAGUUCUAUUUUGAAUAGGAUAAUGAUUUCUAAUGAGACCAUGCCUCUGUUUUGACACCUGAUAGGAUUUAUAGGUUCUUUCAACUAUAAGUUUCAAUUCAGUUUUGAUUCCAACUGUACAAUCAAUACAAUAAAACCCAAACAAUUGCUAAAUACCAUUAAAAAAAACAUCCCUUCACUAAGCGAAAAAGGGAAGAACCUAAC